UACGAAGGGGGCUAGCGUUGCUCGGAAUCACUGGGCGUAAAGCGCAUGUAGGCGGCUUUUUAAGUCAGAGGUGAAAUCCUGGAGCUCAACUCCAGAACUGCCUUUGAUACUGGAGAGCUUGAGUCCGGGAGAGGUGAGUGGAACUGCGAGUGUAGAGGUGAAAUUCGUAGAUAUUCGCAAGAACACCAGUGGCGAAGGCGGCUCACUGGCCCGGUACUGACGCUGAGGAGCGAAAGCGUGGGGAGCGAACAGG
rnacentral:rRNA from 1 species